rnacentral:rRNA from 1 species
GACGAACGCUGGCGGCGUGCCUAAUACAUGCAAGUCGAACGCUGAAGGAGGAGCUUGCUUCUCUGGAUGAGUUGCGAACGGGUGAGUAACGCGUAGGUAACCUGCCUGGUAGCGGGGGAUAACUAUUGGAAACGAUAGCUAAUACCGCAUAAUAGUAGAUGUUGCAUGACAUUUACUUAAAAGGUGCAAUUGCAUCACUACCAGAUGGACCUGCGUUGUAUUAGCUAGUUGGUGGGGUAACGGCUCACCAAGGCGACGAUACAUAGCCGACCUGAGAGGGUGAUCGGCCACACUGGGACUGAGACACGGCCCAGACUCCUACGGGAGGCAGCAGUAGGGAAUCUUCGGCAAUGGACGAAAGUCUGACCGAGCAACGCCGCGUGAGUGAAGAAGGUUGUCGGAUCGUAAAGCUCUGUUGUAAGAGAAGAACGAGUGUGAGAGUGGAAAGUUAACACUGUGACGGUAGCUUACCAGAAAGGGACGGCUAACUACGUG